rnacentral:lncRNA from 1 species
AAAAAUAAAAUAAAAAAAAUGUAGAGCCCAGAUGACAAAUUUGCAAUCUUGCACAAUUACAAAGAGACUUGCACUAAGUGGACCGGCGAAAACCAAACAAAAUAAAGGGAAAUUUCUUGAGAAAGAACAAACAACUGGGCCUAUGGGAGAAGCUUCAGCAAACCAAAGGCGUGAGAAGCUUUAGCCAUAAAAGGCCGAAGAUGCCCAUGGAAGAAGCUUCAGCCAUAAAAGCAAAUUGUGGAAUCAAAUCCAUCACAAAUAACCAAUCUGACACCCAAUCUCAACUCAUACAACUUCAAUCUACGCAUUAUAAUUGUUGCAUAACAUUCGCCCGUGGAUGAAGCCAUUUAUUACAAUCCUCAAGCAUGGAUGCAGAGGCGGAUCUACCCACGAAAAGCAGUUUCAAUUUGAGGGCGAUUUCAACUUAUUUCGAUUCCUUUUUUGCUUGGGAAGAUUGGUUUGGAAAGAGAGAUUGUUUCUUGAUUUUGAUAGAUAUUAACUAUUUUGUUGGUAGAAAAAAUGGGUUCACAGUUAAAUCUCUGUAAAGAAUUGGGAAUGAACAUGAGUUCAAUUGAAUGAAGGGGAAAACGUGAGUUCAAUGUCCAAACGUCAAAAAUUAAUGGGUUAG